UUUAAAGUGUUAAAAUGGAAGGAAUCUCUUUUCAAAAUUGUCUGAACUAAUUUAAGUAUGAUUAGUUGUCUUUUCAAGUCUGAAAUACUUCAAUAUAAAUGAAAAGUCUUGAGGACAAACAUUGUGAGUGACAGCUAUUAUUAGAUAUUAUUAUUUUUAAGAAAAUUAAACUUGUCUGCAACUUAAGUUCCCCUGCCUGACACCCAGUACAAGAAUUAAAGCAUCACCUAAUACAUUUGUAAACAGUGUAGGGAACAAUUUGGAUUCUGUUAGUGUCCCUUUUUACUAAGGGCUAAUAGUCUGUCUGUAAGCAGUGAGUCAGCACACCUUGCUGUGAAUGGACCUGAAGUAACCUGGUGCUUCAGUAGACAAUUGUGGCAGCCAUGGCUGCAGGGCUGGUGAAUUCAUCCAGCAUGGAAGACCUCUGAGACCUGGCUCUCUCCUUGCCCACAUCCUUUGUGGUUUUUCCUGCGGAAAAUAAAAGAAGAGGAGAUAGCAGAUAGUGUACAUCAGAGGUUCAAAGAAAUGGCCAACCAUGCUCACACAUAUAGUGUAAGGCUUCAUUUUCCUUGUAUUGGAGUCUUCAUGAUGGGACGCAGGUAG
rnacentral:lncRNA from 1 species